rnacentral:rRNA from 1 species
UACGUAGGGGGCAAGCGUUGUCCGGAUUUAUUGGGCGUAAAGAGCGUGUAGGCGGCCCGAUAAGUCCGCCGUGAAAGUCCCGGGCUCAACCCUGGAAUGCCGGUGGAAACUGUCGGGCUGGAGUCCGGAAGAGGCGAGUGGAAUUCCUGGUGUAGCGGUGAAAUGCGCAGAUAUCAGGAGGAACACCAAUGGCGAGGGCAGCUCGCUGGGACGGUACUGACGCUGAGACGCGAAAGCGUGGGGAGCAAACAGG